AUUGAACGCUGGCGGAAUGCUUUACACAUGCAAGUCGAGCGGCAGCGCGGGGGCAACCCUGGCGGCGAGCGGCGAACGGGUGAGUAACAUAUCGGAACGUACCCAGUCGUGGGGGAUAACUAUCCGAAAGGAUAGCUAAUACCGCAUACGUCCUGAGGGAGAAAGCGGGGGAUCGCAUGACCUCGCGCGAUUGGAGCGGCCGAUAUCGGAUUAGCUAGUUGGUGGGGUAAAGGCUCACCAAGGCGACGAUCCGUAGCGGGUCUGAGAGGACGACCCGCCACACUGGAACUGAGACACGGUCCAGACUCCUACGGGAGGCAGCAGUGGGGAAUUUUGGACAAUGGGGGCAACCCUGAUCCAGCCAUGCCGCGUGAGUGAAGAAGGCCUGGUUGUAAG
rnacentral:rRNA from 1 species